rnacentral:misc_RNA from 1 species
AUGAAGAACGCGGCGAAAUGCGAUAAGUAAUGUGAAUUGCAGAAUUCAGUGAAUCAUCGAAUCUUUGAACGCACAUUGCGCCCGCCAGUAUUCUGGCGAGCAUGCCUGUUCGAGCGUCAUUUCAACCAUCAAGCCCCAGGCUUGUGUUGGAGCCCUGCGGCUGCCGCAGCCUCCCAAAACCAGUGGCGGGCUCGCUAUCACACCGAGUGCAGUAGUUUACUCUUCGCUCAGGGCGUGUGGCGGGUGCUAGCCGUGAAACCCCCAACUUCUCAAGGUUGACCUCGGAUCAGGUAGGAAUACCCGCUGAACUUAAGCAUAUCAAUAAGCGGAGGA